AGCGAAAUGCGAUAAGUAGUGUGAAUUGCAGAAUUCAGUGAAUCAUCGAAUCUUUGAACGCACAUUGCGCCCUUUGGUAUUCCAAAGGGCAUGCCUGUUCGAGCGUCAUUUGUACCCUCAAGCUUUGCUUGGUGUUGGGCGUCUUGUCUCUAGCUUUGCUGGAGACUCGCCUUAAAGUAAUUGGCAGCCGGCCUACUGGUUUCGGAGCGCAGCACAAGUCGCACUCUCUAUCAGCAAAGGUCUAGCAUCCAUUAAGCCUUUUUUUCAACUUUUGACCUCGGAUCAGGUAGGGAUACCCGCUGAACUUAAGCAUAUCAAUAAGCGGAGGAA
rnacentral:rRNA from 1 species